UACGUAGGGUGCAAGCGUUGUCCGGAAUUAUUGGGCGUAAAGCGCUCGCAGGUGGUCCGUCGCGUCGUGCGUGAAAGACCCCGGCUCAACUGGGGAGGGUCGUGCGAUACGGGCGGACUGGAGGCCAGUAGGGGGAUGCGGAAUUCCGGGUGUAGUGGUGGAAUGCGUAGAGAUCCGGAGGAACACCAGCGGCGAAGUCGGCAUCCUGGACUGGUCCUGACACUCAUGAGCGAAAGCGUGGGGAGCGAUCCGG
rnacentral:rRNA from 1 species